AUCUUCUUAGUAUAAUUAGUACUACCGACUUCCAAUCAGUAAGAUCCGUACCAACAACGGAAGAAGAUA
rnacentral:tRNA from 1 species